GUCCGCACUGUAAACGAUGAUUACUCGCUGCUAGAGGGCAACCUUUAGUGGCUUAGCGAAAGCGAUAAGUAAUCCACCUGGGGAGUACGCCGGCAACGGUGAAACUCAAAGGAAUUGACGGGGGCCCGCACAAGCGGAUGAGCAUGUGGUUUAAUUCGAUGAUACGCGAGGAACCUUACCAGGGCUUGAAAGUUAGUGACCGCCUCUGAAAGGAGGCUUCCCGCAAGGGCACAAAACUAGGUGCUGCAUGGCUGUCGU
rnacentral:rRNA from 1 species